rnacentral:rRNA from 1 species
AUGUACUCGCGGCGGAGGCUUCUCUCGCUCCUGCGGCACGCUCGCCUCGCCCCGGCGGGUCGUCUCGCCGCCGCGCCGCCUUCGAGGAGCUUCAGCCUGCCCCGCGCGGCCGUCGGCGCGGCCUCCACCUCAGGUUCUAGUGAUGGUCACUUCAGUUGUAAGGGUUCAACAUAUGCCGCCAUACUGAUUGGGCAAGCAGCUGUUGUUCUUGGCCUGAGCAGCAACUCUGUAUUGGCUCAGGAUGAUUUGGUUGCUCCAGCAGCUACAAGUGAGCACGCUGAUGUAAAUGUUACUGGCCUGCGUCGUAUUGAAGAUGGUUCAGUGAUCUCAAAUGAACACACGAUCAAAUGGAGAAUGUGCACUGAUAAAGCACGAGAGUUUUUCAUGGAAGGAAAACUAGAUGAAGCCGAGAAGUUAUUCAAGGCAGCCUUACAAGAAGCUAAAGAAGGAUUUGGACUCAGAGAUCCACAUGCUGCAUCAGCUCUGAACAACUUGGCAGAGUUUUAUAGGCUAAGGAAAGAGUAUGAGAAAGCUGAGCCGUUAUAUCUGGAAGCGAUUGAAAUCUUGGAGCAAUCAUUUGGACCUGAUGAUAUACGGGUUGGAGCAGCUUUUCGUAAUCUUGGGCAAUACUAUUAUAUUCAACGCAGGUUUGAUCAAGCUCAGACAUGUUUUGAGCGUGCUUUGAAGAUAGAAGGACGUGUUAUGGGGCUUGGUAACCCAGACUAUGCAAAUACAAUGUACCUUCUUGCCAAGGUUUUAAGUCAACAAGGAAAAGGAAAAGAUGCAGAAGCUCUUAUUCGAGAGUCUAUUAGGAUACUUGAGGAAGCUGGACUUGGCGAAUCACCUGCGUGCAUACAAAGAAUGAAGUUUCUCUCUUUGGAGUUGGUGAAGUCAAAGCAACUGGCUGAAGCUGAAAAUUUGCAAAGGAAGAUAUUACAUAAUCUGGAGCUUUCAAAGGGAUGGAAUUCAUUGGAUACUACAGCCGCAGCCGAAACCUUAAGUGUUACUCUUCAAAACAUAGGGAAUUUGAAGGAAUCAGAAGAACUAUUGGAAAGAUGCCUCACUGUCAGAAGGAAAAUUCUCUCUGAAGAUCAUUUUGAGGUAGCAGGUAUAUUGGUACACUUGGCAAGGCUAACUUUGCUUAAAAUUACUAGUGAUAUCAAGGUAAACAAUGAUCUGUCUACGCCUCACCUUGUCAAGGCAAAACAACUUGUCAAUGAUUCAAUAAGGAUAACGGAAGGAAUAUUGAAUCCUUCAAGGGAGAAUCGGAAAAAAUUAAAUAGCACAUUUGCCAUGGAAAGAGAGAAGAUUGGGGCAAUAGUUGUACUUUUGCAAGCACUUGAAGUUGUUGGACUUCUUGAAGCUGCAAGAAAGAGAAUACAGGCACCAGCGUUUGAUUAUCAACACGUUGAACAAGCUCUGCGCAGGUGUAUUUCACUUUACAACGAGCCUCAUACAAGAAACGUGGUGUCGAAAGCCCUCAGGCAGCACUACCUAAAAUGCUUGCACAGCCUCACGCUUAUUGUUCAGCACGAUCCAGACAUCUCGGAUGCACCGCAGAUGCAGGGUCUGCUAGGUGAAUCACAGCGAAUAGUGAAGUUAUUGGGCGAGGAGAACAAUACGAAGUAG